ensembl:lncRNA
AUCCGUGAAUUAAAAUGUGUCAAACUGUGACGAUUUACAACUCGCAGAAGUAAACAGUGUACUCUCUGUGUUUGUUCUGAGUGUACUGUGUGUGGUGUGUGUACUCUGUGUACUCUGUGUGCUGUGUGUACUCUGUGUACUGUGUGUAGUGUACUGCGUGUGUUGUGUGUGUGUGUGUGUGUUCUGAGUGUACUGUGUGUAGUGUACUGCGUGUGUUGUGUGUGUGUGUGUAGUGUACUGUGUGUAGUGUACUGUUUAGUGUACUGCGAGUGUUGUGUGUAGUGUACUGUUUAGUGUACUGCGUGUGUAGUGUACUGUGUAGUGUGUGUAGUGUUGUGUGUGUAGUGUUGUGUGUAGUGUACUGUUUAGUGUACUGCGUGUGUAGUGUACUGUGUGUGUGUGUGUGUAGUGUACUGUUUAGUGUACUGUGUGUGUUGUGUGUGUAGUGUUGUGUUGUUGUGUGUGUGUGUUAGUGUGUCCUGUGUGUAGUGUACUGUGUAGUGUACUGUGUGCUGUGUGUGUAGUGUUGUGUGUGUGUGUGUGUACUGUGUGUAGUGUACUGUUUAGUGUACUGCGUGUGUAGUGUACUGUGUGUAGUGUUUGUGUA